rnacentral:tRNA from 1 species
GGCCCCAUCGUCUAGUCUGGCCUAGGACACUGGAUUUUCAGUCCAGGAACAGGGGUUCAAAUCCCCUUGGGGUCA